GAGGGUACAGCUCAGAGGUUGAGCGCAUGCUUUGAAUGCAUGAGGUCCUGGGUUCAAUCCCUAGUACCUUCG
rnacentral:tRNA from 1 species